rnacentral:rRNA from 1 species
CCCUUAGAUGUUCUGGGCUGCACACGUGCUACACUGGCAGGUUCAGCGAGCUUCAUGCCCUGAUCUGAAAGGAAUGGGAAAUCUUUUCAAAACCUGCCGUGCUUGGGAUAGAUGUUUGCAAUUAUUCAUCUUCAAUGAGGAUUGCCUUGUAAGCGCACGUCAUCAGCGUGCAUUGAAUACGACCCUGUAUUCUGUACACACCGCCCGUCGCUCCUACCGAUUGAAGUUUUCGGUGAGUUGACAGGAGGAUUUUUUUGAAACUGGUUCGCCAGUGGAUUUUAGAUCCAAAUGCCAACGAAUCGAUGGCUUUAGAGGAAGGAGAAGUCGUAACA